rnacentral:tRNA from 1 species
GCGCCUGUAGCUCAGGGGAUAGAGCAACGGACUUCUAAUCCGUCGGUCGGAGGUUCGAAUCCUCCCAGGCGCGCCA